GACGAACGCUGGCGGCGUGCUUAACACAUGCAAGUCGAACGGAAAGGCCCUGCUUUUGUGGGGUGCUCGAGUGGCGAACGGGUGAGUAACACGUGAGUAACCUGCCCUUGUCUUUGGGAUAACUUCAGGAAACUGGGGCUAAUACCGGAUAGGAGCUCCUGCUGCAUGGUGGGGGUUGGAAAGUUUUGGCGGUGGGGGAUGGACUAGCGGCUUAUCAGCUUGUUGGUGGGGUAGUGGCUUACCAAGGCUUUGACGGGUAGCCGGCCUGAGAGGGUGACCGGCCACAUUGGGACUGAGAUACGGCCCAGACUGCUACGGGAGGCAGCAGUGGGGAAGAGUGCACAAUGGGCGGAAGCCUGAUGCAGCAACGCCGCGUGCGGGAUGACGGCCUUCGGGUUGUAAACCGCUUUCGCCUGUGACGAAGCGUGAGUGACGGUAAUGGGUAAAGAAGCACCGGCUAACUACGUG
rnacentral:rRNA from 1 species